UGUAUCUUGAUUGUUAUAUUUGGAAUUUUAUCCGCAAUAUACCGUCUCGUAUUACUAUUGACUCAAACCCGUCAUAUCAUCUAACUCAUUCAGUGAAAUUAAAUAUACUU
rnacentral:sRNA from 1 species